UACGGGGGGGCAAGCGUUGUUCGGAAUUAUUGGGCGUAAAGAGCUCGUAGGCGGUUUGUUGCGUCGGCUGUGAAAUCCCGAGGCUCAACCUCGGGUCUGCAGUCGAUACGAGCAAACUAGAGUGUUGCAGGGGAGACUGGAAUUCCUGGUGUAGCGGUGAAAUGCGCAGAUAUCAGGAGGAACACCGGUGGUGAAGGCGGGUCUCUGGGCAACAACUGACGCUGAGGAGCGAAAGCGUGGGGAGCGAACAGG
rnacentral:rRNA from 1 species